GCAUGCGGCUCCUAUACAUGCAGUCGAGCGCAGGAAGCCGUCUGAACCCUUCGGGGGGACGACGGUGGAAUGAGCGGCGGACGGGUGAGUAACACGUAAAGAACCUGCCCAUAGGUCUGGGAUAACCACGAGAAAUCGGGGCUAAUACCGGAUGUGUCAUCGGACCGCAUGGUCCGCUGAUGAAAGGCGCUCCGGCGUCGCCCAUGGAUGGCUUUGCGGUGCAUUAGCUAGUUGGUGGGGUAACGGCCCACCAAGGCGACGAUGCAUAGCCGACCUGAGAGGGUGAUCGGCCACACUGGGACUGAGACACGGCCCAGACUCCUACGGGAGGCAGCAGUAGGGAAUCUUCCACAAUGGACGAAAGUCUGAUGGAGCAACGCCGCGUGAACGAUGAAGGCUUUCGGGUCGUAAAGUUCUGUUGUAAGGGAAGAACAAGUGCCGCAGGCAAUGGCGGCACCUUGACGGUACCUUGCGAGAAAGCCACGGCUAACUACGUGCCAGCAGCCGCGGUAAUACGUAGGUGGCAAGCGUUGUCCGGAAUUAUUGGGCGUAAAGCGCGCGCAGGCGGCCUCUUAAGUCUGAUGUGAAAGCCCCCGGCUCAACCGGGGAGGGCCAUUGGAAACUGGGAGGCUUGAGUAUAGGAGAGAAGAGUGGAAUUCCACGUGUAGCGGUGAAAUGCGUAGAGAUGUGGAGGAACACCAGUGGCGAAGGCGACUCUUUGGCCUAUAACUGACGCUGAGGCGCGAAAGCGUGGGGAGCAAACAGGAUUAGAUACCCUGGUAGUCCACGCCGUAAACGAUGAGUGCUAGGUGUUGGAGGGUUUCCGCCCUUCAGUGCUGAAGCUAACGCAUUAAGCACUCCGCCUGGGGGAGUACGGUCGCAAGGCUGAAACUCAAAGGAUUGACGGGGACCCGCACAGCGGUGGAGCAUGGUGGUUUAAUUCGAGCACGCGAGACCUUACCACUCUUGACAUCCCCCUGACGGUACGAGAUGUAACUUCCCUCGGGGCAAGGUGACAGGUGUGCAUGAUGUCGUCAGCUAUGUCCUGAGAUGUGGUUAGUCCGGCAACGAGCGCUAUCAUGUCCUACUUGGCAGCAUAGUGGGCGUCUAGCGAACUGCGGUCAAUCGAGCAGUGGUAUGACGUCGAAGCAUUCAAUGC
rnacentral:rRNA from 1 species